GUGAAAAGUGAAAACCCCUACACAUUGAGAUUAAAUUAUCAUUCAUUCAAGAUUUCAAUCACAUUGUCAUAACAUUAUUCAUUUAAGAUUAAUCGAUUUUCAUUUUAAACCAAACAAACAACAAUGUCGUAUGUUGCUUCUUCUCCUAAUUUUCAAAAACUCCAAAACCCUAAAUUCAUUCGCUUCUUCUCCUCUUCACCUAAAAGCCUAUACUCUCAAUUCCACAACCAAAAUAAAGACGAACAAAAUCUCGUUUGCUUAUUCAAUCAAUUGCUACUUCAAAACAAUCCAUCCAUCUUCCGAUUUAACAAAAUUUUAGGUUCCUUUGUUAAGCUAAAUCAAUACUCCACUGUUGUUAAGCUAAAAUGGGUUGCUUGAUGAAGCAUUGGCCAUACUAUCAAAACUGAAAGACAAUAGUUGCAUUCCAAACGCCGCAACAUAUGAAAUUAUUAUCCGUUCUCUAUUUGAUAACGAUGAAAAUGAUAAGGCGGAGAAACUUCUUCGUGAAAUGAUUUCAAGAGGUCUGUUGUAAGACUAAAACUAGAAUUUAUUGUUCUUAAUUGAGCUUAAGAAGAGGUGUUGGUCGUAGGAAACUGGGUUAAUUAAGAUUUGUUCUGUUGAGCCUAUCUUAGGGAUACUAAAUUGAAUUGGGACAGAACAACAAGUAAGCUUAUUAUUAUUUUUCUUUUUAAUACUUAUACUUCUGCAUUAUAGUUCUAAUCUUACGAAGCUUAUCUGUUUUAGAAUGAUAAGCUUAAGGUUGAGUUUCUAAGACCUGAACUGUAAACAACAGACAUAAGUUUGGCUUUGCCCUUAAGCGAAGUAAGCUGAGAAUGACUUUAAUUGCUCUUGUGGUUACAUUAAAUUACUGUCUAAUGAGUAACUAAGGCCUCAUUGCAGCUGCAUAAUCUACUCAAAUAUGCAUUAAAGACUAAUAUUGAGAACUGGAAUGGUCUUCAAGUUGUUUGGUCACUAGGCUUAGAGUUUUAAACUUGCAUACAGAAGGAGGGAGCAUGAUUCUAUUUUCUACAUAACUGCUGGUGCUGCAGUUUUGGAUGAUAAUUUAUCUUAAAUUUUGGUUUGGAGUUUUUUAAUAUUUUAGAAUGAUAUGGUUAGAAAAAAUAUUCCUAAUGUUGUAACGUACAGUUCCCUUAUUUUAGAAUUAUAUGGUUGGUUUAAACUGCUGCCACAUUCUUGCUUUUAGUAUAAAGCCAAGCCUAGUGGCUGUUACAGAGGUCAGGAACCUGUACGAAUAUUUCAGGGAUUUACAAAUGAAUUCAAAGUUAUACAAGUAGUUAUUUGAUUUGAUUUACAA